CAGGACGAACGCUGGCGGCGUGCCUAAUACAUGCAAGUCGAACGGUCUUUCUAUGGAAGCUUGCUUCCACUGAGAAGAUAGUGGCGAACGGGUGAGUAACACGUGGGUAACCUGCCCAUAAGAGGGGGGAUAACAUCCGGAAACGGGUGCUAAUACCGCAUAGUUUUCUUGAUUGCAUGAUUGAGAAAGGAAAGACGGCCUUUGUGCUGUCGCUUAUGGAUGGACCCGCGGCGUAUUAGUUAGUUGGUGAGGUAACGGCUCACCAAGACGAUGAUACGUAGCCGACCUGAGAGGGUGAUCGGCCACAUUGGGACUGAGACACGGCCCAAACUCCUACGGGAGGCAGCAGUAGGGAAUCUUCCGCAAUGGACGAAAGUCUGACGGAGCAACGCCGCGUGAGUGAGGAAAAGGUUUUCGGAUCGUAAAACUCUGUUGUCAGAGAAGAACAAGUUGGAGAGUAACUGCUCCAGCCUUGACGGUAUCUGACCAGAAAGCCACGGCUAACUACGUGCCAGCAGCCGC
rnacentral:rRNA from 1 species